UCAGACAUGGUGUAGUGGUAACACAGCCUUCGGUUUUGAAGGUGGUAGCAAGCAUUGCGGGGCAGUCCUGGGUUCGAAUCCCGGUGUCUGAA